ACUCCUACGGGAGGCAGCAGUAGGGAAUAUUAGAAAUGGACGAAAGUCUGAUCUAGCAACACCGCGUGUGCGAUGAAGGCCCUCGGGUCGUAAAGCACUUUUUGGAAGGAAUAGGAAGGAAUGUACUUCCAGAAUAAGUCUCGGCUAACUACGUGCCAGCAGCCGCGGUAACACGUAGGAGGCAAACGUUAUCCGGAUUUACUGGGCGUAAAGCGCGUGUAGGUGGUACUGUAAGUAGGGCGUGAAAGCUCCUGGCUCAACUGGGAGAGGCCGUUCUAAACUACAGAACUAGAGGAUGGUAGAGGGAGGUGGAAUUCCAGGUGUAGCGGUGGAGUGCGCAGAUAUCUGGAGGAACACCGGUGGCGAAGGCGGCCUCCUGGACCAUUCCUGACACUCAGACGCGAAAGCUAGGGUAGCAAACGGGAUUAGAGACCCCGGUAGUCCUAGCCCUAAACGGUGUAGACUAGGCGUCGGAAGUUUAAUCACUUUCGGUGUCCAAGCUAACGCGAUAAGUCUACCGCCUGGGGACUACGGCCGCAAGGUUAAAACUCAAAUGAAUUGACGG
rnacentral:rRNA from 1 species